rnacentral:lncRNA from 1 species
UAUUUUCUACUGUAUACAAUAGCUUCAACUGCUCUUGUGUGGGUCCACUCCAAACCAUUCACUUUAACUAAAAAAAAAAAAACCUUAUUCUUUUCAUUAUAUUUAAUGAGGUGGACCCAUAUAUUAUUCACUAUGUUCCAUAAAGACUCGUUCCAUAAAGCUUUUUGCUUCUCAUUAUAGCCUUUACAACUACUUGUGAACCAUUUCAACUUAACUCUUUUGACUCUUACUACUAUCUCUCACUCACCCACAUGAACAAACUCAAACUCAAACAAAACCAACAGUCUCAAACUGACAGAGAACCAUAGUUUUGCAUUUAACUUCCCCAUGUUUCAGACUAUCUCAACCUCAUUUUCCUCAAAAGACAGUAUCAUCUCAGCUUCAGUCUUUGAUUGUCACCGGUUUUAACAGCAUAAUGGUUCUACUUAGGAGGAAACUUAAAAGUUUGUUGCUCUCACUGAUCUUGUUUCUCUGCAUAUUUGGUCACUGUCAUGGCUCAAGAACUACAAAUGUGUUCAAAGUUAAGCCAAAAUAUGAGAACAAGGGUCACUUUUUUGGUUACUUGCCAAGAAGAAUACCUAUACCAUUUUCCUCUCCUUCAAGGAAACACAAUGACAUUGGCUUGCAAAGUUGGAGAUCACCAUGAAGAAUUCGAAUCAGAAUCAGAAAGCAGUUUUGUGCAAAGGUGACUUGUGGGUUUUUAUUUGAACUUCGUUUGGAAAAUAUGGUAGUACUAAUUAACUGAUGUACAUUGGGGGUAUGAAGCCAUUGUUAAUGGUUCAUUCAUUGUUUUUUGGAGUUUGAUGAGAAAAACAACUUUAUUUUGUUUUAGAUGAUGUAAUGGAGAUAAUAUUAUUUUGAUACAAUUAUGAUACAAUGAUCUAUUAGUGUAUGAUUAUUCAAUCUCUUAACGUUGUUCUGAUGUAAGCUAAGUAAGAUUAAGGUUUUAAGUACGUAUUAUAGCACAUGCAUUUGCCAUAUAUGGUAUUUCUACGGCUACUAAUCAAAUUAGCUUCUUCUGUUGAAGGAUUAAUGAAGUUAUGAUUAAUAGAAAGAGAUAUAUUGAGCAAUAAUGCAUUGUUGUAGUAAUUGG